UACCGAGGGUGCGAGCGUUGAUCGGAUUUACGGGGCGUAAAGCGUGCGUAGGCGGCUUUUUAAGUCGGAUGUGAAAUUCCCGAGCUUAAAUUGGGAAUUGCAUUCGAUACUGGGAAGCUAGAGUAUGGGAGAGGAUGGUAGAAUUCCAGGUGUAGCGGUGAAAUGCGUAGAGAUCUGGAGGUAUACCUAUGGCGAAGGCAGCCAUCUGGCCUAGUACUGACGCUGAGGUACGAAAGCAUGGGGAGCAAACAGG
rnacentral:misc_RNA from 1 species